rnacentral:rRNA from 1 species
UACAGGGGAUGCAAGCGUUAUCCGGAAUGAUUGGGCGUAAAGCGUCUGUAGGUGGUAGUUGAAGUCUGCUGUUCAAGACCAGGGCUUAACCCUGGGCCGGCAGUGGAAACUCAGCUGCUUGAGUGCGGUAGGGGCAGAGGGAAUUCCCGGUGUAGCGGUGAAAUGCGUAGAUAUCGGGAAGAACACCGAUGGCGAAGGCGCUCUGCUGGGCCUUUACACUGGACACUGAGAGACGAAAGCUAGGGGAGCAAACGGGAGU